rnacentral:rRNA from 1 species
AUUGAACGCUGGCGGCAGGCCUAACACAUGCAAGUCGAACGGUAGCACAGAGGAGCUUGCUCCUUGGGUGACGAGUGGCGGACGGGUGAGUAAUGUCUGGGAAACUGCCCGAUGGAGGGGGAUAACUACUGGAAACGGUAGCUAAUACCGCAUAACGUCGCAAGACCAAAGAGGGGGACCUUCGGGCCUCUUGCCAUCGGAUGUGCCCAGAUGGGAUUAGCUAGUAGGUGGGGUAACGGCUCACCUAGGCGACGAUCCCUAGCUGGUCUGAGAGGAUGACCAGCCACACUGGAACUGAGACACGGUCCAGACUCUUACGGGAGGCAGCAGUGGGGAAUAUUGCACAAUGGGCGCAAGCCUGAUGCAGCCAUGCCGCGUGUAUGAAGAAGGCCUUCGGGUUGUAAAGUACUUUCAGCGAGGAGGAAGGCGUUGUGGUUAAUAACCGCAACGAUUGACGUUACUCGCAGAAGAAGCACCGGCUAACUCCGUGCCAGCCGCCGCGGUAAAAGGG